ensembl:misc_RNA Y_RNA Y RNA
CCCUGGUUAGAGUGCAGUGGUUUACAACUAAGUAAUCAUGGCCAAUUACAGACUCUCUGUUCCUUCUCCACUCCCACUGCUUCAUUUGACUUAGCCUUAA